CAGCGUCCUUAUUUCCCACAACGAAAUGAAGAGAGUGAUCUUGGCGAUACUACUGAUCGUUUCCCUGGUGGCGUCCACGGAAGCGGCAUGCGGUGCGUACAACAGCCGAUACCACAUUUGCUGCAAUGGAAGGGUCAGUUCUAGAGGUUAUAGAUAUUUGAUAAACGCAUGCUGCAAUACCACUGCGUACAACAGCCGAACCCACAUUUGCGUCGAUGGAAAGCCCAUAUGAUAACGGUUCGAACACUGGAUAUGCCUAAACAAUUCGUGUGGUUAAAUCUAUGCAUACAUCUAUGUUUGCGAUAUACAUGCAUGUUGCGAACAGUAAUCUACAUGGUUAUGUAUGUGCACUGGCGGAUUUCUCCAUAAACUGAACUGAUAUGAUUGAGUGCCACUAGUACAUAUGCUUAUGAAAUGGUAAUGAAUUAUGUAUACUGCGAUGAA